GGACCUCCCUCGGGGGUUCACUGCUGCUGGGAAGCAGGACCUCCCUGGGGUCCCUGGGGGGAGGGAAGCAACUAAAAGAUGCCACAGGCUGAGCGGGCGAGGAGGCACUGGGGGCUAGGUCCCCAGCCAGGGCCAGGGGCUGGGGGAGAGGGGAGAUGAAAGGCCCCUGGCACCCCAAUACCUCCUCUGCUGCCUACAGGAGACCUGAGGUUUUCCUUAGGAGAGUCAUCAUUGUAGAGGGGCUUUCGAAAUUUCUAGAAAUGACUUGAGACUGGAUGGCCCUUGAGGACAAUGAGGAAGAGGCGGGGGAUGUGGUUUUUCUUGUGCUACCUGGCCACUCAGCCGACGUGCCAGACAUUACCUAGACUAUUCCGCUCAACGUUCGUAGUAGGCCCACGUGACAGGGGCCACGGUUCAACCCACUGGAGUGGGCGACGCAGGCGACGUAGGCUACACCCCUCUCCAAGAGGGGACCAGGAGAGCCGGCAGAGGAGGAAGCGAAGAGUUCUACCGUAGGCUGCCUACGUCUGCCCUUUGCCUAUGACACACUCUUCCUCGAAGAGCCAACCGUCCUUCUGGGGAACUGGGAGGGUUCCAGCUGGCCUGCCAGGGCGGAGGGGUGGGGCCUGGGUGAGCAGAGCCAGGAGAAAGCCUGCUGACAGGUAGAGCCAUUCCUGGCUUUGAUUCAUUGACCGUCCGGGGCAAGAGCUGGACCAAGUCUCUUGGAAUUACAAAAAUGCCCCACACAUAUUUUCCCUCCCAGCGGUGGUUUUGUUCUCAGCCAGCAGAGAAGGCCUGUCUGCUCUGCUAACCGCCCCCCACCCCCCCACUCCCCACUCAGCC
rnacentral:lncRNA from 1 species